rnacentral:rRNA from 1 species
GGGCAAGUCUGGUGCCAGCAGCCGCGGUAAUUCCAGCUCCAAUAGCGUAUAUUAAUGUUGUUGCGGUUAAAAAGCUCGUAGUUGGAUCUCGGUUUCGGGUGAGUGGUGCACCUUGCGGUGUUUACUGCUUGCCCGGACGAUUUUGUUGGUUCGUUUAUAGUUCUCUUAACCGAGUGCCAUAAGUGGCCAGCACGUUUACUUUGAAAAAAUUGGAGUGCUCAAAGCAGGCGCUACAGCCUGAACAUUAGUGCAUGGAAUAAUGGAAUAGGAUCUCGGUUCUAUUUCGUUGGCUUUCGGAGUCGAGGUAAUGAUUAAUAGGGACAGACGGGGGCAUUCGUACUGCGACGUUAGAGGUGAAAUUCUAGGAUCGUCGCAAGUCUGGCUAGUACGAAAUAAGACACAAAAAAUGU